GUUGGUACUCCUGGUUCUCAGGGAUUCAGACUCUGACUGGCGUCCACUCCAUUGGAUCCCGGCCCUCAGGUCUUGCAACUUGCACUGCCAGCAUUCCUGGGUGUCCGGCUUGCGGACAGCAGAUCGUGGGACUUCUCAGCCUCCAGAAUUGCACGAAGUGUCUCCUUACGAAUCUCUUCCUAUGUACGUGUAUCCUACUGGCUCUGUUUCUCUGCAGAACCCUGACUAAUAGAAACCCUCUCAUCUCACAGCAGUGCAUGUACAAACCCACUCACAUCUUCGCCUCCCCUGCCUUCCCUACCGCAAGUUCCCUCCGACCAGAGGCCAAUCCCGCUGCGGUGCCCCGGACCCACCCUCUGCACCAGCCUUCCUUCUUGUUUUCUAAAAGCUCGCGUUUUCUGUGGGCUUCCAAGGCUGCUCUUCAGUAUCUUUACGUCAGAGCCUCCCAGCUCCUUCCCCUCUCUCAAAAGCGUUUUCACAGGGACUGUAGGCUCCUUCCCUCCCCUUGAUAACCAAGUACUAUGCCCCAGGUUCUUACCUCACAGCCCAAAGUUGUCCUAAGUCAGGCCCUGACCUGAGUGUCUCCAAAUCCAGCAGGCCGUCUGCUCUCCUGUGACAUGCAGCAUCCCACGGCUUUUCCUAAAACACCCCCUCUGUCAGCUUUGCUGUCACCCACCCUCCAGGGCUCUCUCUUAUAGGUCUGCCCUUUGCUAGCAUCUUAGCCUCUCCACCUCCCGGUGGUCCUGUCUGCGAUGGACCCCCUCCAUGUGUCCCAAGGCCCUCCAAAGGAACAGGUCUGUAUCAGGUGCAAUUAGAUUGAGUUGCAAUGCAAGGGCUUGAAUUGCAGAGAGGUUCAUUUUUCUUUUUGUAGAAAAGUCUGGGACCAGCUGUCAGAGACUGAUUUGGCCACUCCAUGGUCACCAGGACCAGGCUGUGUCCAUCUUUUCUGUUCUGACCUUUUUCACAUGGGCCAUUGUCCAUGUCACCGCUGGUCACCAGCUGCAGCAGUCGCAUUCUUGCUCCAGGCAGCAGGAAGAAGGUGAGACCAGAAGGCAAAGGGGGCUGGUCCUGCCUGGUCAGCCCCCAGGGGGCUUUGCCCAGACACCCCUUCCCCACCCAUGGCUCUGCUGAUUUCUCUAUAGCUACCACCCUCUGAAAAGGGAGCUGGCAGAGUAGUUCUUAGACAUGGCACCUGGCCACCUCUGUGGCUAAAGAAGAAGGAGGUUGAGGAUUGGGGUACACACCUGACAGUCUCCAUGCAAUGCCCCAAAGUGGACCACUGACCCCACACCACGCUGUUCUCCUCUGAGUUUUCUCACCUCUGUCCAAAUGGCUGCAGAAGCCAAAAGCCCCAGAGCCCAGCUCCCCUUCCCUCCUUUCUCCCCCAUCCCAUCUUCCAUCCUUCCAUCCUUCCAUGAGCCUGCCCCUCAUCCUCCUCAGGGCUGGAACUGGCUGCCGGAUUCCUCCCUGGCUCCGUGGGGGCUGGCUCAGCAAUCUGAGCUGCCGAUGGCUCUGUGGGCCGGCUGGGAGGAUUCAUGCCCCAUUGGGGCUGAGAGGAAUGAGGUGAGGGCUAUGGGGUUUGCCCAGAAUCUCCUGAAAUAUCGGGUCCAGGAACCACAGCAGGACUCUCAUUCCGCCUUCUGGCCACUGUUGGGGUUGACACUGGCAGGAUCCAGGGGCUCUGGAAAGCUCCAGGGGAAAUUUGAGGCAUAACCCAGCUUCUCUGAGACGGAACUCAGGGAGGAUCCAGCUCAAUCCUACAGAGGCGACCCCAAGGAAGGACCUGCCCAGGGUCACUUGGAGAGCUGGGCGGGAGGAGGGAGAAACCUCCCAGGUCCAGAGUGACAAAGCCCCCCUUGCCCCAGGGAUGGCUGAGAUCCAAAACCUCAAAAACACGCCGCCGUCUGGAGGGUGUGAGAGCCAGGUCCGUCCUCAGCAUGGACGCUGCAGUGCACACUGUUCCGUGCCAGGUGCUGGCUGACCCUGCCCUGGGGGAGCUGAUGGACAGGCACAGAGGGGGAGCCCCGCAAACAAGGGGCCCUGUUACAGCAGAGUGGGAGAGCGCCUGAUAGGUCGCCAAGCACCGUGGCCGGGCUGCAGAGAGGCCUGCGGGGCUUGUAGACAAGACGUCAUGGAGAAGGCGGAGCUCCCAUGGGCCUUGCAGGUUUCACUAAGCAAGGGCGGAGAAGACACAGGCUGGACAAAGGAAGGUGGACGGGACAGCCAGCCGUGCAGCAGCCUCACGGGACACAGCUACCAGACAGAGAGCACCAGCUGACACUCAUUCCUCCAGCACCAGGAAAUGCCACAGCAGAAGAGGGUCUUCAAGAUGGGCCAGCCCCACUUCUGCAGCAUGGUUGCUGGGAGCCUGCACAGGCCAGGUGUUUCUCUACAGGUGCAAUUGAGAACUCACUGAGGCAAAAAGGGCCUUUGUCAACCCACAGAACUGACAAGUCCAAGUGCAGACCAGGCUUCAGGUCCAAUUGCUCUUCAGAACUCAAAAUCCCAUCUCUGCAGGUCUCAGCCAAUCCUGCUCCUGCCUGUUUUUAUUUCCUGCCCAGAGCAAGUACAGAACCGGGGGCCAUCGAUGGGCGAGAAAUCACUGUGCCUCCAAGCCGUAUUUUUCACCGUAACAAGUCAUUACUUCUGUGCCCGGAGUCAUUUCUCAGGAUCUUAAUGCAUUCGUUUAUCAAUCAAUACUUAAUUGAUGUCUAUAAAGCAUGUUCAAAAUCAGAGGUGAGAGCAGCUCACCAGGUACCGACUUCGUGUCUGGAGCCACCUUGUUAAGGAGCAACCCUUGGCACGGGUGCCGUGUCUGCACCCUCGGGAGCUCUGGGUGGGUGCACUGGGGUCCUCACAGCCCUUCCCGCCACUGCAGAUGGAAAUCUCUACCUGGCAGAGGGGCUCAGUCGUGCCCACCCGGGAGUCUGGGGCCUACCGGCAGCAGAAGGUGCAGUGGCCAAACGCGGAGACAUUUCUAUCAUCAGACAUGGUCCCCAGCCCGACUCUGCUGCCCACUUACCCCUGGCCAGGGCGAGUUCAUCGACUGUGCCAAGCCUGGCUGCUUCUCCAGCCUAACAGGAGUCCCUGUCUCGACAGGACUGAGUGGGGUGAAUGCAGCCAAGUGCUCAGCAGAGACUGUCCCACCGGGAAGUGUUCGCAAAUAUGGGCUGUUGAACCUCCUGUUGUUAGAUCUAGAUCCAGUUCUGCGACCACGUUCAUGACUUAGAUCAUAACUGAAGUGGGCCAGCCGAGGCCGGGCCGUUUAGGGGUUUGGCUGCUAAUUCAAGAAGGACACCUGGGUUUGGAUCCCAGAGUUGCCUCCAGACCCAGAUGUGGCCUCAGGCAGGUGAUGAGCCUGCAGAUGCGGUUUCAUUUUCUGCAGGGUGGUCAAAGGAGAUCUCAGGCUUGUAGGAGACAAAGCACAUCGCCCCGAAGAGCUCAGGAGGCACAGAUUACAGCCACCCUCCUUAUCCACCCCGUCUCCCAUCACAGCCCUCAUGAGUGCUCAAGCAAGGCUCAGGGCCUGAUGGACGUGGCUGCCUCCUCCUAGAGGACAGGCAUCUCUCGGCUGCCUGCACCAGCCAGCGGCCCUUCUCCCCAGCCAGGAGAUCCUCCAAGGAAGGCCAAGGGCCGAGGAGCUGCUGGAGCAGAUGACCACAAACUCAGUGACUGCAGAGUGCACGCGCUCAUCACCUUACAGUUCUGUAGGCUGGGAUCCCACUGGGCUAAGACCAAGGUGUUGGGAGGCUGCGUUUCUUGCUGGAUGCUGUAAGAGAGAGGUCGUUUCCUCGUGUUUUUUUAACUUCCUUGGCCCACGGACCUUCCUCCACCUUCAAAGCCAGCAGCCUCGCGUCUUCUGACCUUCCAUUGUCACAUCGUCAUCUGACCCACAUAAGGACCCGUGUGAUUAGGGUGGGCGCACCCGGGUAAUCUUCCCAUCUCAAAGUCCUUGACUGAAUCACAUCUGCAAAGUCCCCUUUGCUAUGUAAGGUCACAUGUUCACAAGAUCCAGGGAUUAGGACUUGGACAUUUUUGGAAGCCCAUUGUCCUGCCAACAGCACAAGACCUCCAGGUGAUCCUGAUGUGUAACGCACAGUGAGAGACAAAUGCUCUGAUGGACCAUCAACAGCAGAACAGACAUAAAUGGAAGAAAAUGUACAUAAAAGAGAGUCCACUUAAACAUGUGAUCCUCUC
rnacentral:lncRNA from 1 species